rnacentral:tRNA from 1 species
GGCUUUAUAGUCAUAGUAAUGAUAUUAGACUGCAAUUCUAAAGGAGUAAUAAAUACUAAGGCUU